GACGUAGGGUGCAAGCGUUGUCCGGAAUUAUUGGGCGUAAAGAGCUCGUAGGCGGUUUGUCGCGUCUGCUGUGAAAACGCGAGGCUCAACCUCGCGCCUGCAGUGGGUACGGGCAGACUAGAGUGCGGUAGGGGAGAUUGGAAUUCCUGGUGUAGCGGUGGAAUGCGCAGAUAUCAGGAGGAACACCGAUGGCGAAGGCAGAUCUCUGGGCCGUAACUGACGCUGAGGAGCGAAAGCGUGGGGAGCGAACAGG
rnacentral:rRNA from 1 species